UUCUACCUUUGAACACACAAGCAAUGACGAGAUGAAGGAAUUGCAAUAAUUGGUGGUGACACAAUUAAGGGGUUCACAUCUUCCGAGCAGGCAUGGAUUGCUCUUACUGGAGAAAAACUGGAUGCUACUCUAGCAAAACAUGUUAUAAAUAAAUGACAGGCAGUGCAAGACAGAGUCUGAUAAUAACUAUGUAGACGUCUGGAUUCUCAUGAGCAUAGAAUUUGUUGCGUCCAUUAC